UGCAUGUCUAAGUAUAAGCAACUAUACUGUGAAACUGCGAAUGGCUCAUUAAAUCAGUUAUCGUUUAUUUGAUAGUACCUUACUACAUGGAUAACCGUGGUAAUUCUAGAGCUAAUACAUGCUAAAAACCUCGACUUCGGAAGGGGUGUAUUUAUUAGAUAAAAAACCAAUGCCCUUCGGGGCUCACUGGUGAUUCAUAAUAACUUAACGAAUCGCAUGGCCUUGCGCCGGCGAUGGUUCAUUCAAAUUUCUGCCCUAUCAACUUUCGAUGGUAGGAUAGUGGCCUACCAUGGUUUCAACGGGUAACGGGGAAUUAGGGUUCUAUUCCGGAGAGGGAGCCUGAGAAACGGCUACCACAUCCAAGGAAGGCAGCAGGCGCGCAAAUUACCCAAUCCCGACACGGGGAGGUAGUGACAAUAAAUACUGAUACAGGGCUCUUUUGAGUCUUGUAAUUGGAAUGAGUACAAUUUAAAUCCCUUAACGAGGAACAAUUGGAGGGCAAGUCUGGUGCCAGCAGCCGCGGUAAUUCCAGCUCCAAUAGCGUAUAUUAAAGUUGUUGCAGUUAAAAAGCUCGUAGUUGAACCUUGGGCCUGGUUGGCCGGUCCGCCUCACCGCGUGUACUGGUCCGGCCGGGCCUUUCCUUCUGGGGAGCCGCAUGCCCUUCACUGGGUGUGUCGGGGAACCAGGACUUUUACUUUGAAAAAAUUAGAGUGUUCAAAGCAGGCCUAUGCUCGAAUACAUUAGCAUGGAAUAAUAGAAUAGGACGUGUGGUUCUA
rnacentral:rRNA from 1 species